GACGAACGCUGGCGGCGUGCUUAACACAUGCAAGUCGAACGGAAAGGCCCUGCUUUUGUGGGGUUCUCGAUUGGCGAACGGGUGAGUAACACGUGAGUAACCUGCCCUUGACUUUGUGAUAACUUCAGGAAACUGGGGCUAUUACCGCAUAUGAGCUCCUGCUGCAUGUUGUUGGUUGGAAAGUUUCGGCGGUAGGGUAUGGACUCGCGGCUUAUCAGCUUGUUGGUGGGGUAGGGACUUACCAAGGCUUUGACGGGUAGCCGGCAUGGGAGGGUGGACGGAGACAUGGGGACUGAGGGACGGACCAGACGCCAACGGGAGGCAGCAGUGGGGAGUAUUGCACAAUGGGGGGGAGCCUGAUACAGCAACGCCGGGUGCGGGAUGACGGGCUUCGAGUUGUAAACCGCUUUCGCCUGUGACGAAGCGUGAGUGACGGUAAUGGGUAAAGAAGCACCGGCUAACUACGUG
rnacentral:rRNA from 1 species